rnacentral:rRNA from 1 species
UACGUAGGGGGCGAGCGUUGUCCGGAUUUACUGGGCGUAAAGCGCGUGUAGGCGGUUCUUUAAGUUUGGUGUGAAAUCUCCCGGCUCAACUGGGAGGGUGCGCCGAAUACUGAGGGACUAGAGUACGGGAGAGGAAAGUGGAAUUCCUGGUGUAGCGGUGAAAUGCGUAGAUAUCAGGAGGAACACCGGUGGUGUAGACGGCUUUCUGGACCGUAACUGGCGCUGAGACACGAAAGCGUGGGUAGCAAACAGG